rnacentral:lncRNA from 1 species
CAGGCGGAGUGCAGCUCUUCACUGCCAGCCCUCCAGGGAGCCAGGAGGGUAGUGUGGGACUCGGAGCACCUGGGAAGCGCAGGAAGCAGCAGAGGAGCUUCCUUCCCCCACCUUAUGCAGUCAUGAUCAAGGCUUGAAGCUUCACCAGUGCCUAGUUUUUUUGGCUUUGGAGGAAGGAAGCUGAGCAGCAAGCGCUGGAGGGAGCGGUACCUUGCUAGGCAAAGCAGAAUGAAGGGACCAGGACGGGGACCGGCUGAGUGCUGGUGGCCAGGGGACACAACGGCCCUACAGCCAGCCGCAGCAGGAAGCUUUCUGCUCCAGUAGUUCAUACUCUAUUCGUGCUAUACUUCAGGUGACUUGAAAGCCUACCUGCGUUCUUCCAUAAUACUGCAUCCCAGACGCUUGUUUUGCAGGAACCUUCGUCUCUUUUCCUUUCUUCUGGUAAACAGCAAUGCGCUCCCCCUGUGCUACUGGAGCUGCGUUUGCCGAGCUCCCUUUGUACGACGCGCUUGCUGUGACUCAGCGAUCGGAUCAGCCCUUUUGAAAACCGUCCCGUGCACACUGCUUUCAAGGUUCAAGGCCCCCCUGCUUUGCAGCAAGCCAGAAUUUGCACCAGCUUACUUCUGCGUCGGUGGCUGCUUCCCUC